rnacentral:rRNA from 1 species
UCUCUCAGUUCGGACUGGAGUCUGCAACCCGACUCCACGAAGCUGGAUUCGCUAGUAAUCGCGCAUCAGCCACGGCGCGGUGAAUACGUUCCCGGGCCUUGUACACACCGCCCGUCAAGCCAUGGGAGCCGGGGUACCUGAAGUGCGUAACCGCGAGGAGCGCCCUAGGGUAAAACUGGUGACUGGGGCUAAGUCGUAACAAGGUACC